GGCAGAAGUAAAGCAAAGAGGCUGAGGAAGAGGCUGUGUGGAGGGAGAUCAUCCCGAAGAAUAACUCUGGCGAUUUGGAACUUUGAGCAGAACCUGGUUUUGGAUGAGAGAGCCAACCAGAGAAGAGAGUCCACGCCCUUAGCCAGGUCCUCUUGGCAGUUUGGUUAAGCCCAGUCAGGACACUGCUCCUGGACCGUGCAUCCUGAUGGGUGUGGAGAAUUGGGAGGUAAGAUUUGCAUACCAUGGAUUAUAAAGCAUUGGUCGGAGAAGAGCACUGGAGUGGGGUGCCAUUUCCUCCUCCAGGGGGUCUCCCUGACCCAGGGAUGGAACCCGGGUCUCCAGCACUGCGGGCAGAUGCUGUACCGUCUGAGCCACCAGGGAGGCCCCGAUAAUACUGCCCCCAAUAAAAAGAAUGAAAGUCCAGCACGAGACUCUCCAAAACUGAGGCAUUUGGAGGAAAAAACUGUCCCUGUCCAGUUACCAAGAGCUGAGGUGGGAGAACCUGGGGGAAGGAAGGACAGAAUCUUCACGGAGACCAUGUGCUGAGCAGGAGGCCUCCAAACUCAUGCUGUCUCUCAAGCUGUGAUGAAUUUACACUAUUUUAAAGGGAGAGAAAAGUCAAGGUUUAUAAACGUGAGACAGGUCACUGGUAUUCAAAUACCAUGCUUAAAAUUGCAAUCGAUGUUUUAAGAGAGCAAGCAAAAAUGCAGGGUUGAUAAUACUCCAGAAGCACGGAGAAGUACGGAAAGGUGAUGUCCCCAAAGGAGCAGGUAGAAUCUGAAGGUUUUCACCCGUAGAUUUGAGGGCAGUCGCGGUGGAGGAGCCAGAAUAACAAAAUGGCCGCGGCAACAGCUGCUGUCUACGGGGCGCUGUCACACCACUUUGCCGACAAAGGUCCGUCUGGUCAGGCUGUGGUUUCCCCAGUGUAUGGAUGUGAGAGUGGGGCCAUAGAGAAACCUGAGCACAGAAGAACGGAUGCUUCUGAACUGUGCUGUUGGAGAAGACUCUCGAGAGUCCCUUGGACUGCAAGGAGAUCCAACCAGCCCAUCCUGAAGGAGACCAGUCCCGGGUGUUCAUCAGAAGGACUGAUGCUGAAGCUGAAACUCCAAUAUUCUGGCCAUCUGAUGUGAAGAGCUGACUCAUUGGAAAAGACCCUGAUGCUGGGAAAGAUUGAGGGCAGGAGGAGAAGGGGACGACCGAGGAUGAGAUGGCUGGAUGGCAUCACCGACUCAAUGGACAUGAGUUUGGGUGAGCUCCGGGAGCUGGUGAAGGACAGGGAGCCUGGUGUGCUGCCGUCCACGGGGUCACAGAGAGUCGGAUGCGACUGAGCUGAACUGACAGGAUGUGACGCGCAUGCUGUCUUGUUUAAGCCCACAGCAAGCCUCCGGGAGAGGCGUCUCGUAUCAAGUGCACAAAUAAGGAGACGGAGGCAUCCAGCAACUGGGUGUCUUGCACAAGACCAGAUAGUUAACAAGCAGUCAGAUCCACGUGGCAGCCCACACAUGACUUUCAAGCCCUUACCAGCAAUGUGGAAACCGACUCAGAAGCUAGUUCCAGAAACUUUCGGCAAGUAAACCUUGGCAAGGAUACUACAGCCAGCCUUGCCCAAAAGCAAUGUUGAAGGGAAGACUCCACCCCCAUCUGCAACCCCAGGCACCUAUUCGUCAAAGUGUAUGUUUGGAGAAAGGAGAAAGGAUCAUAGACACGCCCAGGAGGAAAUGAGAGGGGCUGUCUGAGCCCUCACCGCCCCCCGCCAGACUUCUGAAUCGAAAAUGCUUGGGGGAUAUCAAGUAAGCACUUCCAGUGCGUCCCUCUCUGCCGCGGGUCCCUCUCUGCUGUAUGUCCCCGGCUGGAGCCUCAAAGGGACACGUCUGAGGCAUCGCUCUCGCUUCUCCCUGUCAGACCCUCCCGGGCCCUCACCUUCCCCGCUUCUGCCCUCAGAGCUCCACUCACUCGGGUGCCCAGCUCCUCCCAGCCCAACCUCCUUGGAAAAGGAAUUUCUGACUAGAAGUCCCAGUAACCACAAGAGCCGUCCACUUAGAUAUGAAGCCGGAGCCAGAUGGACUGUCACCAGGAGCUGGCAUCUGGUCAGGUGUAGCCAGAGGCUUGUCCCAGCUUGCCCUGGUCAUUCGACCUCACAGAAGCAUAGUCCAUGAUCUGCCUGUUUGGAUUCCCUGGAACCCACUUAUGUUGCUGAGGUGGGGUUUUAUUCUGUUUCAGAGCAAGUGGUGCAUAUAUAGAAAGCAGUGUGCAAAGGUAUUUCAAGAUAUUUACAAGCAAUGAAAACGCAGAUGCAACACAGCGGUAUUUAUAACAUGAGCCCAAGCGUUAGUUCACACAGAAGUGUUUCUCAGAUUUCAGUCUUUUGCAUGCUAAUUCCAAAGUUUUGCCAUAUCUGAGUAUCUGCCAUAUCUAAACAAUAAUAAUACUUUUAGUAUUUACUUCAUGCGCCUUUAGUAG
ensembl:lncRNA